rnacentral:rRNA from 1 species
UGUGGGGGACAUUCCACGUUUUCCGCGCCGUAGCUAACGCAUUAAGUGCCCCGCCUGGGGAGUACGGCCGCAAGGCUAAAACUCAAAGGAAUUGACGGGGGCCCGCACAAGCGGCGGAGCAUGCGGAUUAAUUCGAUGCAACGCGAAGAACCUUACCAAGGCUUGACAUGAACCGGAAUGAUGCAGAGAUGUGUCAGCCACUUGUGGCCGGUUUACAGGUGGUGCAUGGUUGUCGUCAGCUCGUGUCGUGAGAUGUUGGGUUAAGUCCCGCAACGAGCGCAACCCUCGUUCCAUGUUGCCAGCGGGUUAUGCCGGGGACUCAUGGGAGACUGCCGGGGUCAACUCGGAGGAAGGUGGGGACGACGUCAAAUCAUCAUGCCCCUUAUGUCUUGGGCUUCACGCAUGCUACAAUGGCCGGUACAAAGGGUUGCGAUACUGUGAGGUGGAGCUAAUCCCAAAAAGCCGGUCUCAGUUCGGAUUGAGGUCUGCAACUCGACCUCAUGAAGUUGGAGUCGCUAGUAAUCGCAGAUCAGCAACGCUGCGGUGAAUACGUUCCCGGGCCUUGUACACUCCGCC